AAGUCGUAACAAGGUUUCCGUAGGUGAACCUGCGGAAGGAUCAUUAUCACGUUGCAAAACACUUAUCAACCUUUGUGCACUCGGUUCCUUCAGAGCAAAUUUUGGGUUUGGGUGGCUUUGGGUUGUUUGUUGAUUUGGUCUUUCGAAAGAAAGAGAACACCAGCCAUCUUGGUCAACAGUCAUUGAAGUGGAUUCAUUCGUGGAUCUGUCUUCUGAUUGUUUCCAGCCCUGUUCUGAAGAGCUGUUUUUUGCGGUACCACAUCAGCCGCGCCUUGUUUCACCUUUUUUCCUUUUUAAACCCCUGUACGAUUUAUGAACUGAUUUGGUUCUUUGCUGAUCUUUGGUCGGUAAAGAAUUCACUUAAAAAACAUCAAAACAACUCUUAACAACGGAUAUCUUGGUUCCC
rnacentral:misc_RNA from 1 species